GGUACCCCAUGGGAGAGUGCGUGCCAUGUUCCAGAUGCGCACGCUAGCCACAGAUGCAGGACUGACGAUGACUGUGGAAUAGAAGCAAUAACAUGCAAGAAGAGGACCUGCAGUAUGGCUGGCUACUGCGGCUUAUUUUUUUAUAAUGGAAACAAGAGUUCCGGCUUUAGCAUGAUAAUGCGUACAGCCAAUACAAGUCGAUUAUUACAAUUAAGAACUGCUGCAUGAAUAGUGAUACUAACUCAAAGGAACUAAAUUACAAUACUAUGACUAACACUAGUCAUACUCAAUUCUUGAAUUUGAGCGCCAUCCAUGGUUUGCGAAGACUUCCAUCGCCACCACUUCCAAAACUUGCGAAGCAAUGAGGAUUUGUUGUUGCGAUUCCUCCUUUUGUAGCAGUCUCCAGAAUCUUAACCAGUGAGUACAUCUGAAAAUAACCUGCACAAUUGAUGGAAUUGGUUUAUGAUUAAAAGCCACCUCAUUUCGACUGAGCCAAAUAGCCCAAAAUAAAGCAGCUAUUCCAGAGAGUAAAACUUUUUUAUACCCCGGACCCCUAUUUGUUCCCCAAGACCCGAUAAUAUGAUUAAUGCUAACGGGCAUUUCUAAUUUUAAGGCAAAGUAAAUUACUCUCCAUAUGCUUUUGGCCAUAUAACAGUCAAAAAAGAGAUGGUGAAUACUUUCAUUUCGAUUGCAAAAGCUACAUGUCAAGCUACCAUUCCAUCGCCUUUUGGCUAAAUUAUCUUUUAGGGAUGAAAACGAACGGGAACGGUCGGGAAAUACCGUCAACCGUUUCCGUUACCAUAUUUUUUCACCGAAAACGGGAGCGGGAGCGGGACCACUGGUAUCGGUAACGGGAUCGGUAUAUACGGUUGUACGAAAACGAUAAAAAAACGAACGGAGAUAUAACGGAAAUGGACGGUAUUCAGAAAAUAGCCGAAAACAUAAUCGUCCGAAUGAGUCAUGAGUGAGUAGUGGUUGACUGGCUAUCAUGCAUUACCGGUGGCGUGCUGUUUUACCUUACAAUAGUUUUCAAUUUUUAAUUUUAUCCCUUGUUAACCGACACUCACAAACCAGCAUGCUAGAGUAGUAGAGUUCACGUUCAUGGCCUAGUAUGAAAUGGUAUGAAUAAUAGAAAGACACAUAUUUGAUGUGAAUUUGGCUUCUUAGAUAAAUCUAGCGGGUCGCUCGCAAUGGCAGCAUGUCAGCUACGCGAUCGCCAAUAAAUGUUGGGAUGACUUUUUGGGCACAUAUAAAUCCUGAGAACCUGAGAACCUGUUCGUAGAGUGCUGGAUGACGCAUAUAAAUCCCUUUCAUCACUCACAUAUAAAUCCUGAGAACCUGUACAUAGAGUGCUGGAUGACGCAUGGGCGCCAUGGACCAAUGCAAUUUAAGGUUAGCUAAUGGGCUGCGCCAUGGCCCAUGGGUGAUGCUAAUGGGCUGGACCUCUAAUGUAUAAGGAGAUAGGUAUCCCGUGUAAAAUUAUAAACGGGAUAAAACGGGACAAUCCCGGUUAAAUAUGGGAUACCAGAAAUACGGGCGGAAAACUGCCUCAACCGUUUUCGUUCCCGUUCCCAUUAACCCCAUCCCGGUUCCCGUCCCGUUACCAUAUUUUCCCGCAAAUACGAAAACGGUCGGGAUAAAAAGGGAAAACGGUACGGGUCGAGACGGGAUUUUUCCUGUUCGUUUUCAACCCUAUUAUCUUUAGUAAGGAUUGCUCCACGACAUAAAUUCCACAAAAAAACUUUUAUUUUCAAGGGGAGCUUAAGUUUCCAAAGCUUCUUGUUCCGUUCGUUGUUGGGAAUAUUCAUCAACAAAUGGUACAUAGAUUGGACCGAGAAGAUUCCAUUCCUUUGACCGUCCCAAACAAAUUUAUCUCUAGACAGAGACAGAGUAACCUCAGAUAGCAAGUUUAGCAUGUUGUGCCAUUCCACUAAUUUAUUCCCCAUGAUUGUACGUCGAAAAGACAAAUUAAGGUUCGUAUCAGAAAAAACGUAUGCAACCAAGGCAGAUUUGUUACGCACUAUAUUAAAGAGAUUCGGAAAUUGCUCACUAAGAGGUCGACUGGUUACCCAUUUGUCCUUCCAGAAUCUGGUAGCUUGACCAUUUCCCACUUUGAAGUGCCCCCCUCUAAGGAGUUGGUCCUUAAUAUUCAUUAGGCCCGACCAGAAUUGAGAAUCCCCCUGUCUUCUAGAAACUUGAGAAAGAGACUUCUCGCCUAGAUAUUUAUUUUUAAGUAAUUGUUGCCACAUCCCAUCCUCAUUGAGUAAUUUAAAGAGCCAUUUGCUGAGUAAGCUUGUGUUUUUUACAGCUAGAUUAGAGACACCUAAACCCCCUAACUCCUUGGGUUGACAAACGAUAUUCCAUCUGGCCUGCGGCUUAUGGCUGGUGAUUUAUUAGCGUCUCAAGAGCGGGGAUAUUACGGGAGGAUUGAAAUAGCCUCGGCCUAUAACUGUACAAUAGAUUAGUGGGAUCGCUUGAUAGGUUGCCGCAUCUGUCAUUCUAAUUUACCUUUCUGAAUUCGUUUUGUACAUGCCUGCAUUCUGGUGCGGAUUUUGAGCAUUCCAGAGUGUACGUAAAGGAAAUAAAUUUAGGCCCAUUUAGAUUCUUUGAAUUG
rnacentral:lncRNA from 1 species